UACGUAGGGUGCGAGCGUUAAUCGGAAUUACUGGGCGUAAAGCGUGCGCAGGCGGUUAUGUAAGACAGAUGUGAAAUCCCCGGGCUCAACCUGGGAACUGCGUUUGUGACUGCAUAACUAGAGUACGGCAGAGGGAGGUGGAAUUCCGCGUGUAGCAGUGAAAUGCGUAGAGAUGCGGAGGAACACCGAUGGCGAAGGCAGCCUCCUGGGCCAGUACUGACGCUCAUGCACGAAAGCGUGGGGAGCAAACAGG
rnacentral:rRNA from 2 species